rnacentral:snRNA from 1 species
GUGCUCGCUUCAGCGGCACAUAUACUAAAAAUGGAAAGAUACAGAGAAGAUUAGCAUGGCCCCUGCGCAAGGAUGAGAUGCAAAUUUGUGAAGCGUUCCACAUUUUU